rnacentral:rRNA from 1 species
GACGAACGCUGGCGGCGUGCAUAACACAUGCAAGUCACGGGGGCCAGCAAUGGCAACCGGCGAACGGGUGCGUAACACGUAAGCGACCUACCUCGAUGUGGGGCAUAGCCGGCCUAACGGCCGGGUAAUUCCGCAUGUGAUCCUUGAGGGGCAUAUCUCGGGGAUGAAACCAGUAAUGGGCAUUGAGAGGGGCUUGCGGCCUAUCAGCUCGUUGGCGGGGUAACGGCUCACCAAGGCGACGACGGGUAGCUGGUCUGAGAGGAUGGCCAGCCACAUUGGGACUGAGAAACGGCCCAGACUCCUACGGGAGGCAGCAGUGGGGAAUCUUGCGCAAUGGCCUAACGGCUGACGCAGCGACGCCGCGUGAGGGAUGAAGCUCCUCGGAGUGUAAACCUCUGUUGCCCGGGACGAAUAGCGGAUUUUCCGACUUGACGGUACCGGGUGAGGAAGCACCGGCUAACUCCGUGCC